AUUGAACGCUGGCGGCAGGCCUAACACAUGCAAGUCGAACGGUAACAGGAAACAGCUUGCUGUUUCGCUGACGAGUGGCGGACGGGUGAGUAAUGUCUGGGAAACUGCCUGAUGGAGGGGGAUAACUACUGGAAACGGUAGCUAAUACCGCAUAACGUCGCAAGACCAAAGAGGGGGACCUUCGGGCCUCUUGCCAUCGGAUGUGCCCAGAUGGGAUUAGCUAGUAGGUGGGGUAACGGCUCACCUAGGCGACGAUCCCUAGCUGGUCUGAGAGGAUGACCAGCCACACUGGAACUGAGACACGGUCCAGACUCCUACGGGAGGCAGCAGUGGGGAAUAUUGCACAAUGGGCGCAAGCCUGAUGCAGCCAUGCCGCGUGUAUGAAGAAGGCCUUCGGGUUGUAAAGUACUUUCAGCGGGGAUGAAGGGAGUAAAGUUAAUACCUUGGCUCAUUGACGUUACCCACAGAAGAAGCACCGGCUAACUCCGUG
rnacentral:rRNA from 1 species